UACGUAGGGGGCAAGCGUUGUCCGGAUUUAUUGGGCGUAAAGAGCGUGUAGGCGGCCAGGUAGGUCUGCGUGAAAACUCGAGGCUUAACCUCGAGCUGUCGGCGGAAACCAUCUGGCUAGAGUCCGGAAGAGGAGAAUGGAAUUCCCGGUGUAGCGGAUGAAAUGCGCAGAUAUCGGGAAGAACACCCGUGGCGAAGGCGGUUCUCUGGGACGGUACUGACGCUGAGACGCGAAAGCGUGGGGAGCGAACAGG
rnacentral:rRNA from 1 species